UACGGAGGAUCCAAGCGUUAUCCGGAUUUAUUGGGUUUAAAGGGUGCGUAGGCGGAUUGAUAAGUUAGAGGUGAAAUGUCCGAGCUCAACUCGGGAACUGCCUCUAAUACUGUUGAUCUAGAGAAUAGUUGCGGUAGGCGGAAUGUAUGGUGUAGCGGUGAAAUGCUUAGAGAUCAUACAGAACACCGAUUGCGAAGGCAGCUUACCAAACUAUAUCUGACGUUGAGGCACGAAAGCGUGGGUAGCAAACAGG
rnacentral:rRNA from 1 species